rnacentral:lncRNA from 1 species
AUUACUGAAUUGAGGUUGAAAUUCGGAAAAGAAUAGACAUAAUAAAACUAGAUUUCAGCUGUAGUAAAGAAGAAAUAAAACUAGAUUAAAGCUAUAGUAAAGAAGAAAUAAAACUAGAUUACAAUUGUAGUAGAGAAGUAAUAAAAUUAGAUUACAGCUAUAGUAAAUAAGCAAUAAAAUUAGAUUACAACGGUCUAGAUUACAAUUGUAGUAAAGAAGCAAUAAAAUUAGAUUACAGC